CCCUUAGACGUUCUGGGCCGCACGCGCGCUACACUGACCAGUGCAACAAGCAUCCGUCCUUGGCCGAUAGGUCUGGGUAAUCUUUGAACGCUGUUCGUGAUUGGGAUAGACCUUUGCAAUUAUGGGUCUUCAACGAGGAAUUCCUAGUAAACGCAAGUCAUCAGCUUGCAUUGAUUACGUCCCUGCCCUUUGUACACACCGCCCGUCGCACCUACCGAUUGAAUGGUCCGGUGAAAUCUCGGGACGGCGGCUUGGUCGCUUGCGUCCGACUGCUGAAACUUGAUUAAACCAUAUCAUUUAGAGGAAGGUGAANUCGUAACA
rnacentral:rRNA from 1 species